AAUUAUGCAUGGAAAAGAAGAGUACUAUUUGCAAGAGUUUUAGAGAGUCUCUGGCUGGUGAAAAGAGAUAUUCGAGCGGAUAGGAAGAUGGUCUUUUGGCAUCAGUCGCUGAGGGGAAUUCCUAAGGUGCUGCGGGUUCGCCCGAUAUCGCGACGAGGCUAUCGAAGUCAUUUCCGUAGCUGAGAGGCUUGUUUAUACAAGUAAAAAAAGGUGGUACCACGAUCACAGGUUGUAAUCGUCCUUGGU
rnacentral:ncRNA from 1 species